CGUCCGAGCUUCCAUAAUACCAUUCGGACUUCUCCGAUAAUGAGCUCCUCCAUUCAUCUACCGAGCUACUCCAAGCACUUUUCGAGCUUCACUAUCAGCCGAUUUUCUACAGUGAUCGACUAUUCUACGAAUCUCUUCCAGACUUCUUCCGACCACGGAUGACUUUACUCUGAAUUUCUUUCGGACUUCGUCAAUGUCCGAGCUUCUCCGAUAGUAGGAUUUCUACAGUAACCAGACUCCAUCCAAGU
rnacentral:lncRNA from 1 species